AUUUCAUUAGCAAUUGUAAUUUGCAAAUUUUAAUUCGUGUUUAUUUUUACUUUGCGAUGAACUGUUUCUCUCACUUACAAUUUACAAUUAAAAAUUUAUCCAGCAAAUACUUGCAAAUUUCCCCUCAAAAUGAAAUGUCAUUUUUCUAUCUCACUUUCACGUGCUUUGCAAGUUUUUUUGUGUACAUUAAACCAAAACGUGAUAAUUUGUAGCAACUGUUACAAACUAUUUGCUUCAUGAACAGACCUUAUAUUUGCAGUUGUCUGAAGAUCAGGAACACUUCUGAAAGUCUUUUUGAGGGUAUCUACGACUGGUCCAAUAAAGGAGAGCCACCCGGAUCGUUCAAAGGAGACUGUUUAUCUUUAUCAAUGAAAUGGAUCCUCUUCCAGUCGACUUCUAUUCAUUUCAUAUUUAUGACGGAUACAGAUCGACUGCUUGAUUUAAACCAAUAGCCGCGAGAAUUUGAAUGAUUGUAAUAUGUUAUAUGAAAAGUAUUCCAAUCAAUUUGAUUUUUUCAACUACGUUUUUCUACCGGCUGUGCGAACAAAUAGUACCAAAUCUAGUGCGGCGUUACCAAAUAUGCUAUAUUAUUCGGAAGACUUCUUUCAAGAUUUCUGGAUCCUUAUCUUCCGAUAUCAUAUCCAAAAAUGAAUCGUGAGGACACAAAGUUUUUGGCUUCCUGAUUUUCGUUUAAUAUUUCUUGUUGUUGUUGUAGCAGCGUAAAUAUUCCACAUAUUUACAUACGGGGAAUGCUGAUGGAGUAUUGUUGUUCUUCUUUGAUGCAACUCGCGCUCUUUACACCGUUUUUAUUACAUUUUCUAUCGUUUGGCGACGUCGACUAAACGUAUUACAAAUGUAUUUCAUAGACUCUUUAUUAUAAUUACUCAAGG